rnacentral:rRNA from 1 species
UACGAAGGGGGCUAGCGUUGCUCGGAAUGACUGGGCGUAAAGGGCGCGUAGGCGGCUCAUACAGUCAGAUGUGAAAUUCCUGGGCUUAACCUGGGGGCUGCAUUUGAUACGUGUGGGCUUGAGUGGGGAAGAGGGUCGUGGAAUUCCCAGUGUAGAGGUGAAAUUCGUAGAUAUUGGGAAGAACACCGGUGGCGAAGGCGGCGACCUGGCCCUUGACUGACGCUGAGGCGCGAAAGCGUGGGGAGCAAACAGG